ACAAUUAACUUUACUGCUCCCAACUCACAAGAAUGGACAGAUGAUUAUAAAUGACAACUAUAUGUCAAUUACAAUAUCCAAUAAAGUGAAGCUUAGAGAACAAUCCGUCUCCUUUUACUGCUCUUCCUUGACGUAGCUGAAUUUAGCUCAACCCACUGUUGUCACAAUGUAGCCAUUGUUUGGAGGAGGGGUAAGGGGUUUGGCUUGGCUUUCCACCACCCCCCUUUUUAUUUUAAUUUUUCAGUUUCUUAAGAAGUGGUUCAAAAAUACCCAUGUAAAUACAUUUUCUGAAGGAGGAGAGCCACAGGAAACCAGGAAUAAAUGCCUCAUUCAUUCUAUAGAAAACUUGCUGACUUCUGCAGAAAACUCUACAUUCAUGAGCCGAAAAUGACCCUUUCCAGGCACCUGCAAAGUCCUCUAACAUAAUCACAAACUCAUCAAGGUACAAGUUAAAUCACGUAACAGACAAUGCCCCAGAUACUACACGUCUGUUGGAUCACCAGGGGAGAACUCCAAACAUUAAGAGGCUAAGAAAUGUCCCCCAAAGAGGUAAGAGGUAAGAUUAUUCAAGGUGUCUUACUUUUCCCUUCCUUUGGUGGUUGAAAACAUUUUAUUCUGCACUGUUUGCAGGGAGGGGGUGUUUUGUUUUCUCCAAAGAGACAGACAAACACAAAAACAAUUGCGUGGAAUCAAGUUACGCGAACAUCACGGAACUGCUUCUUGAAGCAUUCCAAAUAUACGUUUUUGCUAAUUA